rnacentral:rRNA from 1 species
CAUUAACGAGAUAUGAACUUACAAUUCAUAAACCCAAUCCGCGUAUUUGUCCUUGUUGCUUCCGUAAGUUUGAUGACUUGAUCAUCACUCCCCCUUAUCGAGGGAGCUUACGGGAGGAUUGUUCAACCCAUGUUUUAUUCAAGAAGUCUGAAGUUUUGCAAAUACAAACAUUAAAACUUUCAACAACGGAUCUCUUGGUUCUCGCAUCGAUGAAGAGCGCAGCGAAAUGCGAUAACUAGUGUGAAUUGCAGAAUUCCGUGAAUCAUCGAGUUCUUGAACGCAUAUUGCGCCCCUUGGUAUUCCAGAGGGCAUGCCUGUUCGAGUGUCAUUAAAUCACCUCAGGUUUGGAUUAUUCCACUUCCUGGUAUUGAAUUUGGAGCGUMAUUUUURAUGCYCCUUUUUGAAAUCGAAUGGCGCAAAUGAUUGUCAAUUCUGUGUAAUAAGUUUUACUCCUCACAAAUUGAGCUCUCACUUUGCAGUCUUUCAAUAUWUGAUACUUCAUCUUUAUGACCUCGGAUCAGGUAAGGAUACCCGCUGAACUUAAGCAUAUCAAUAAGCGGAGGAAAAGAAACCAACAGGGAUUGCCUUAGUAACUGCGAGUGAAGCGGCAUAAGCUCAAAUUUUAAAUCUGGCACCUUUGGUGUCCGAGUUGUAAUUUGGAGAGAUACCUUCGGGAUAGGCACCGUCCUAAGUUCCUUGGAACAGGACAUCACAGAGGGUGAGAAUCCCGUAUGUGGAUGGCUGUCUUAUCCCAUGUGAAGUGUCUUCAACGAGUCGAGUUGUUUGGGAAUGCAGCUCAAAAUGGGUGGUAAAUGUCAUCUAAAGCUAAAUAAUGGCGAGAGACCGAUAGCGCACAAGUAGAGUGAUCGAAAGAUGAAAAGCACUUUGAAAAGAGAGUUAAAAAGUACGUGAAAUUGUUGAAAGGGAAGCGCUUGGGACCAGACACAGAUUUCGGUGAUCAACAGGCCCUCGGGACUGUGCACUUGCCGUUAACUGGGACAGCAUCGGUUCAGAUGGCUGGAUAAAGGUUUGGGGAAUGUGGCUUCCUUCGGGAAGUGUUAUAGCCUCAGGCGCAAUGCAGUCAAUUUGGACCGAGGACCGCACAUUAAGUUAGGAUGCUGUCAAAAUGGUUCUCAGCGACCCGUCUUGAAACACGGACCAAGGAGUAUAACAUCUAUGCGAGUGUUNGGCUGGAAAACCCUUGCGCGCAAUGAAAGUGAACGGAGGUGGGAACUCNUUCAAAGGAGUGCACCAUCGACCGAUCNUGAUGUUUUNGGAUGGAUUUGAGUAAGAGCAUAGCUGUUGGGACCCGAAAGAUGGUGAACUAUGCCUGAAUAGGGUGAAGCCAGAGGAAACUCUGGUGGAGGCUCGCAGCGGUUCUGACGUGCAAAUCGAUCGUCAAAUUUGGGUAUAGGGGCGAAAG